rnacentral:lncRNA from 1 species
UCCCUCUCUAGCAUCCUCUUUCCUUCCUAAUUUAGGAGCUUUUUCUAGUCUGCUUCUAAAUAUGCACCUUGGCCAAUCUCGGCACGUCACCAAAUCCUCGUGGUGGGCUUUCCUCAUAGUACCAAUGUGGGAAGUGCCUAACAGAAUGCAGAGAUGGCUCUUAACCGGGUCAGGUGCCUGGCGUGCCUGGGUUCUGUUUUAGGUGAUCCUCACCAUGGCUCGUUCUGCAAAGCAGGGGUCAGUCAGUAGUCCCAUUUUACAGGACACUGAGGUGCAAAGAGGCACUGUACCAUGCCAGCAGGUCUCUCGGUGGGGAGUCAGUGUUUACUCACAUUUUCCCACCUCCUUUCUGCUCAGUCUUUUCUUUUUCCCUUCACUGGGUAGUCUUCCAAGUUCACAGAAAUGAAAAUCUUCCUAAAACAGGAAGGCAAAUAAAUGAGAAUCCCCCUUCUGACCCAAAUCACUAGCAAUCAGCCCCAGCUCUGAAGAUGACAAAAAUUCUUCCAAGCUUGUAGAAUUUAAUAACAACACCUUCUCUCUCCCCACUCCAUGGCCCUAGGGGUGGCAGCUGCUUCCUGCAGUUAUUGAUCUCUGUUGCUGUGCCUUCCCCCUUUUUGCUCCUCCAUCUUCUAACACCCAUUUAAUCAAUUUCCUGUAUUCAGCCCCCUUUGUUGGAAAUACCUGGCAUGAUUUCUGUCUUCCUCAUUGAACUCUGAUUGAUACAUCUCUCUUCUUAAGGGCUGAUCUGAAGAAUUUUCAGGUGAGGCUAGACUGAGGAGAGGAAAGAACUUUUCAAUUGGAUGAGAAAAUC